AACAGGCAGAAUACUGGGGCUCACUCCAUCCUCGAGCUCAGAGUAGAUUUUUGAUAAAGUUACUUCGAUGUGGACAAUGCUGACCUUGUUGUGAUGCUUCCGGACAAGUAGCUUCAAAGGCUUUAGUCCUCACAUCAGUUAAGCAACUAGAAUAAAAGAUGGAGCAACCUGUAGUUACUGGCUUGUGGCCCAUUAUACCUUGUCAGGGAAGAGCUCAAACGCAUACCAGCACCCCUUGCAGGAGCAAAUCCAUCCCUUAGAGCCUUUGCCGUGAUGCGUUGAUCAGACUCUUGCAUGAAAAAUGUAACUUGAUUCGAAGAACAAGAGGAGAAUGUACGUUAAGAAGGCCGGCAGUGUUCAGGUUCUUCGUCAACAUGAUAGAGACUAAGAAAAAUAAAAGAGAAAAAGGAACUUGCAAUUUCGAUAAGUG
rnacentral:lncRNA from 1 species